AAAAAUAUUCAUUCUACCUCCCCACCCUCACUUACGCCGUCUCCAUGCUAAAAUCCAUUCCAUCAAUACCGGUGAAACCACCACCCACACCCCCUCCAUAUCUGACGUCGACAAACCAAAAACCAUCACUACCCGCCUUCCAAUUCCUCUAGCCAGAUUCGUCAAUGAACUUUAACGUCGCAAUUAUUAUCGAUAAUUUGGAUCUCAAUUGCAAUGUGCGAAUCUAUGGGUGUUUCGAUGGGGGUGAGUUGUUGCAGACUCACAAAGGGUGAGGGUGACAGUUUAAGGGUAGCGACUAUUGAGGUAGUUGUGAGUGGGGGUUUGGCGGCGACAGUAAGGCUGGAUGAGCAGUGCCAGUGGUGGUCGCUCUACUUGGUGGAGGGGGCAACAUUGAAGGUUUCAGGGGUAUGUUACAAUGGAGUCAUGGAGCCAUGGAAGUGAUGCUAAAGAAAGCUUGGAAGCUGAGGAAGGUUGCGCGAAUUGCUGACGGAGGACCCUUCUCAUAACCUUGUUGGUUGCUGUUCUUGGGAGAGACGGCAGUGAGACAAUGCGAGAAACCUGCAGAUUUCAGGGCAGUGAAAAAACGCGACCC